UACGUAGGGGGCAAGCGUUGUCCGGAAUCAUUGGGCGUAAAGAGUGUGUAGGCGGCCAGAAAAGUCCGCUGUGAAAACUCGAGGCUCAACUUCGAGCUGUCGGUGGAAACUUUCUGGCUAGAGUCCGGAAGAGGAGAAUGGAAUUCCUGGUGUAGCGGUGAAAUGCGCAGAUAUCAGGAAGAACACCCGUGGCGAAGGCGGUUCUCUGGGACGGUACUGACGCUGAGACGCGAAAGCGUGGGGAGCGAACAGG
rnacentral:rRNA from 1 species